CACGCACCCACAGACACAUGCACACACACAGUUCAAACUUGGGGCACUCUAACUUUGUAAAAAAUGUGCUCAACCAGCAACACAUUCCAGUUCAUUUUUUCUAUCGUUUUGGUACUAUUUUCACAAGUAUGUGGUACAUUUUCACAACUCUCAGUAAAAAAACUCCAAACUGGUCACACUUGUAACGCCACCAGUCUUUCAUUCAAAACGGGGCGGCAAGCUCUAGUGGUUAGAGCUUUGGACUAGUAACCGAAAGGUUGCAAGUUCAAAUCCCUGAGCUGACAAUCUGUCGUUCUGCCCCUGAACAGGCAGUUAACCCACUGUUCCUAGGCCAUAAUUGAAAAGAAGAAUUUGUUCUUAACUGACUUGCCUAGUUAAAUAAAGGUAAUAAAAUAAAAAAACCUGUCAUUGUGCAUUCAUUUGCAUUGUAAACAUCUCUCACCACACAACCAUGGAUUCAAAAUACAAGUGUAUUGUGAAAUGUCAUGAUAACAUUGGUGUAACCACCAAAACACAACAUAAUGAUGAUGAUAUCUUUUCAAUUUAGUCGUUUUAUAUCUACCAGUUAAUCCAAUAGCAAACGAUGCAAGAUGGGUGUUUCAAAUCGCCCUUAGAAAUGUAAUAUGCUACAAUACUGUAAAUUAUACCGUUUUCACAUUAGGCAAUAAACUUACAGUACCCCCCAAAAUUGACAGAAAAUCUAUAUCAUAAAAUGUAUCCAAUGUGUAAUCAAAGGUGUGAUCAAUGAAGACAUAUUCUACAAUCAUUCAUGCAAAAAAAAACAUUUGUAACAUAGGUGUACUGUCUGUAAUCAAAUGUAACAAAUGAAAUGAAUGAAGAAAAAAAACAAAGUUUAGCAUUGCACCAAGCCUGUCUUGAGCAUUUGGUCAUAAAUUCUAAUCCACAUCACAGUGAAUGUCUUCAUUGUUCAUGCACCAUGGGGAAACCUUUAGGCAUGGCGAAUCCAAGCUUGACAUUGGUCUGCAUUGACGUCAUCGCAUGCCUCAUCCAUGGCCAGAAGGAGGGUGGCAUGCUCAUGGGGAUGGCGAUCGUACACCUUCC
ensembl:lncRNA